UGGGGAAUAUUGGGCAAUGGGCGCAAGCCUGACCCAGCAACGCCGCGUGAGGGAAGAAGGUCUUCGGAUUGUAAACCUCUGUCCUUGGGGACGAAAAAAAUGACGGUACCCAAGGAGGAAGCUCCGGCUAACUACGUG
rnacentral:rRNA from 1 species